GCUUGCUUUAGGAAUGGGUAACAUGAUGUGAAGAAUUUGCAUUCUGUCCGGAAUUGAGGAAUUUAAUUUGUGCUUUUACUUCUUUCAUCCACCAUUUUCUCAGAGCCCCCACUUUUUAAAUUUUCACUUAUGGGAAGUAGCCAGCACUGGCUGGGCCAACAUUUAUUGCCUAUUCCUAGUUGAUGUUGAGGAGGUGGUGACGAGCUGCCUUCUUGAACCACAACAGUCUGUUUGGUGCAGGGACACCUGCAGUGCUGCUCGCAGGGAGCUACAAAGGUAAAAACAUAUGAAACAGGAGCAGGAAAAGGCCGUUCAGCCCCAGGAAUGAGGAAGUAGAGUAUCCUGUUUAAACAUGCAGAUCAGAGUGAACAGUGUCGGCAAACAAUGGUUUCAACACCCCCAAGUCAGCUUUACUGAGAGGUUGCCCCAAUCCAGAAGAGAACUCCCGUCAAAGUCUCAUUCCAAAGUAACAUGUAACAUUGGAACCACACGUGUGUGAAACAUCAGAAGCCUAAGACCUGUACUCCAGAAUGACCAUUCCUUCAGCAAAACAUAGUCACUGCAAGUCCAUACAGGCACCAGGACUCAGUCCAUGCCCAGCAUACACUGAGAUGCGAAGAGACCUUCUCAUAGAAGUUCACAGAAUGACCAGGCAAGUUGUUAUUUCAGAUCUCCAGUACUCGCUGAAUUUCACUUUUAUCUGAUUGCAGCAGAAUAUUGUCCUUCAAGAGUGAUGUGGAAUCCCAGCUGACCGACAGAGCAGACGGGGUGUCAGAUUCACACCUCGUCCAAAAGACAGCAGUUCCAGCAGAACAAGUUAUAAAUGUAUCACCUCGGACUGAAUUCCUGACUGACUCUGGCUGGAAACAACCCGAUUGCCAUGUGACUGAGCGAAAGACGUCCAAACACAGCUAACAAACCGUCCAACUGCUUUGUUCAAUAUAGUGAAAAGUUAGAUUUGAAGUUGAUGUCAGAAGUGUAUCACUCCUGUGAUACACAAAGGCAGUCUCACACAGGAGCAGGGGUGAGGAACCCAGUGCAGUGCAAUGGGAAAUGAAUGGGUUAACAACAAUGGAUAUGAUAAUGCAAUUUGCUGUCAAUAUGCAUGUGCUAUUAGGACAUGAAGGAGAAUGGAAAAACUGCAGAUAGAAAGCAGUAAUUGAUAUUCUGUAUGCUAAAGUGUCAAUAAUGAGUUUGCAGCACUUACUGAAGGUGAGGGAGUGUCACUUUUAGGUUUGAGAAAGCUGGGGCUACUCUCUCAUUAGAAAAGCAACUGUCUGUGGUUUAACGUGAGGGUCGCCACACUCCAAGUGAGGGAAGCAGUUGAAAAGGACAGUCCUUCACUAUAACCUCAGCCUUUGAAUAGAAUCCACAUAGUUAGCAUUACAAAACCAGCAAUUCAGCCUACACCGAAGUGAUACAGCAGACUCAAAGCAAGAACUGAUGUUUUGGGCCUAGACCCUUUUUCUGAAGAAGAUUCUAGGCCCGAAACAUCAGCCUUCCUGCUCCUCUGAUGCUGCUUUGCCUGCUGUGUUCAUCCAGCUCUACACCUUGUUAUCUCAGAUUCUCCAGCAUCUGCAGUUUUUACUAUCUCCUAAGCAAGAACUGAUCCCUUCACAGAGACUUUAUCAAACAACAUUUUGGACCUGGAGGCUAUUCAAAGAAGUGACUAAAUCCACAGUCAAGCAGGUCACUGUUUGGAGAAUCUAAAAGCGGGAAAGAGAAGCAAAGAGGUUUUGGGAGGAUAUCCGGAGCUUAGCAGCUCAGCCACCAGUGCUGGAGUGAUUAAAACAAAGGAUGAGAUGCUCAAACUUUUGAACGUAGAAAAUUAUUACAGGAGUUGGCAGGAUGCAUGCAAGAUGAGUGCUUUUUCUAACUAAAUUAGGUAGGAGGAGACUCAGCAGCCAGGGCAUAAAGGGUAGACCAUUUAGGACUUAAAUUGAGAAGAAUGUCUUCAGUCAAUGGUUGGUGAAUCUUUUGAAAUCUUUACCCCAGGAGGCUUUGGAAGUUUGAUUGUUGAGCAUAUUCAUGACAGAGAUGAGCAGAUUUAUAGAUCUUAAAGACAUGUGAAGAGUUAGGAAAGUGAUGUCGAGGUGGAUGAUCAGCCAUGCUCUAGUCUGAUGACACAGCAAGCUCAGGGCUGAAUGGCCACCUCCUGCUUUUAUUUCCCCAUACGCUGCAUUAUGCUUCAGAGGCGAGAAUUUCAAAAGCACAAAGAUUGCAGUGGGUUGUCGGGAAGUGUAAUUACAGAGAUGGAGAGGCAAAUGUCAUUCCCUCGAGAAGGCAGUUAUGAACCACAAUUCUGUAGCGAAUGGAACACAGGGAACGGCUGCUGUUGGAUUUCUAUCUGCGGAAUGGGAGAAUGGGAACCUGCAUAUUGAGGUGGGAUUCAGUAAGGGUGAGAGUAAUAGUGAGUGAUAUCUCAUGUUGGUAGGUCUCUUGCUGCUCUUUGUUGAGAAUCUCAUCUCAACAUCUGGAACUUAGUUCUGAAAUACACCUUUUCACUCUCAGCAUUGAGAGGUCCCUACUCAACAUUUCAUCCAAUUCUCCCACAUUUCUCGCCAUUGCUUGUAUCAUUCAGGGGCUGCAUAGAUUCCACUCAAAGUGCUCUUCAAUGCCCUGAGAGUGCAAAAAGGCACCAAAUUAAGAGGGUGGAACAGGCAGCACAGUGGCAUAGUGGUUAGUACUAAUGCCUCAGAGCACCAUGGGACCCAGGUUCAAUUCUCGCCUCAGGCUGUCAGUGUAGUGUUUGCAUGUUCUCCCUCUGUGUGGGUGUACUCCAGUUUCUUCCCACAGUCCAAAAGAAAUGCAGGCUAUGUGGAUUAGUCAUGGUAAGCAUGGAGUCAUGAAAGUGGGAUGCUGUUCAGUGGGCCAAAUAGUCCUUUUCCACACAAUAGGGAUUCUGCAUAAGCUCUUUCUUUCUGAAUUAGAUGGUUAAGUAGGGAACUGUGUAACAACAUGUGAAUAAGUAAUUUAUCUUUAAAGGACUAAAAUGAAGUGAUAAUGAUGCCUUGGUAAUAUUACUGCACUCAUAAUUAUAUGGACAUGAUGGCUUUGUGAUAUUAUCAGUAAGGCUAUUAAUUCAGAGACGCAGGCAAUGUUCUAGGGCUUCCAGUUCAAAUCCCACCACCACAGAUGGUGGAAUUUGGAUUCAAUAGAAAAACAGGAAUUAAGAGUUUAUGAUUGGCCUUGAAACUGUUGACAGGAAAACCCCAUCUAGUUCACAAAUGGGAAGGAAACUUCUAGAUUACAAAUGCUGGCCCAGCCAAUGAUGCCCACAUUCUGUGAAUAAAUUGUUUUUUUUAAAUCAGGAACUCUGGGGUACGGUUCAAAUCUCAAUGAAACAAUUAGUGGGAUUUGAAUUAAGUAAAAAUCUGACAUUAAGAGCUGAUCUAAUAGUGUCCAUUGUCAUUAAAAACCCACAUGGUUCAUUUUCCCUUUCGGGUUUUUCUAGUCUGACCUACAUAUGACUCCAAACCUACAACAAUGUGCUUGACUGUAACUGUCCCCUGGAUAAGUAUGGGUCGGCAAUAAAUACUGGCCCAGCUAGUGAUACCUGCAUCCCAUGUAGCAAUAUAAGAAAAACAGAAGCUGUCCCAUCCCUCUAGCCCACUGACAUCAGUGAGGGCCCAGCUUCAGUCAAUGCUCUGACAUUAAUCAAUUUUUCUGAGGCAGAGAGCAACUAGCAAUGCAAAGAAUUUUGCAUUUAUGCAGUAUGUAUCCCAACUUCAACACAACCACAUCCCAGUCAAUGAUGUCCUGCCUAAGGUGUGGCCACUGCUUUGAAGAGAGGAGACAGCAUGUGCACAGCAGGAUCUCGCAAGUAGCACUGCUUUUGGUGAUGCUCAAGGACGAAGUCACAGCCCCAGCAUUGGGGAGAAUUCCCUUGGGUCUUCUUCGAAUCAGGGCUUUGGGAUCUUAUCAGGCUCUCAGUUUUCUGUUUCUUAUUCCAUCUUGGUAUCAUUUGCUGUCUUCAGGAAGGAUGUACCAGAUGAAGAAGCUCGAUUUCAUAACG